rnacentral:lncRNA from 1 species
AGAAUCUGUCUUCAAGAAGCUGAGAAAAGCAGAAACCUGGGAAUUAAUGGAUUCAGUGUUGUAAAUGAAAUCCUGACAGUUGUCAUGAAACCUUCUGCCAUGUCUCCAAUAUUUUAUUAGUAGGGAAAUGAUGAAAAUGAAUGGAUCAGACGGACAAAAGCAGUUGAGAGUAUGGCCUAAAGAAAAAAAUCCACUGAACAUCAUGCAAUUAGAAGUGCCAUUAGGCAAAGACUCAAUGGAUUGGCUGGAGACAUCUGGGAGCUUGAAAUGACUCUCUACAAGUUGAUCAAGAACGUAGCACCUGAAUGAACAGAGGAGCAGGAGAAAAGGUGGUGACGGUAAGCAAGGAGGUGAGUCAAUGCUUUAAGAAUGUCAGGCUAUUCAAUAUGAAAAUCAUGACUUUGAGGCAU